AGCAGUGUGGCUCAGUGGAAAGAGCCCGGGCUUCUGAGUCAGGGUUCAUGGGUUCGACUCCCAGCUCUGCCA
rnacentral:tRNA from 1 species